UCCUGCAGGGAAAAUGACCUAUCUGGGGACAAUGCUGUUCCAACUUCACAACCUCUGACGAUUGCCCAAUGUCCUCUGGAAAGGGCUCGAGCGAGGGGAAGGUUCGUGCCACUUCCUGGCAUUUAAUGGCACCAAGUGCUUUAGUGUAAAUAUAAUUAUAGCCCUUGCUUUCAGGAGGCCUCUGCAGCCAACCUCUCCCACAUGGGAUCAACUGGAGACAGCGUGAGCCAUGUGGAAAUUCGGCCUCUGCUCAAGCCUGAAUGCCUUCUCAAUCAACCAGCGUUUGUUCAGCAUCUUCCUGGUGCUUUCUGUGCCAAUACUCUUGGGAGACCCGGAUCUGAAUGAGAUCAUCAGACUGGAAAGAGACUUCUAGAAGAUUGUGAGCAUCCUGGAAGCAACGGAUAUGUCUUCCUCCUCUUUGCACCCCCAGCACUCAGCAAAAGCUCACACCUGUGGCAAGUCUAUUUGACUGCGUACCACUUCCAAACUGGUUUAUCCAGGAGGAAGGAAAAACUAAGACGACUGGGAAAUGACAGACCUGUGGACAGAACUCAUGAAUUAAGGCCAAGCGUGGGCUACCGUUCUCUGUAAUCAAGCCCAGGAUCCACCUGCGGAAAUCAAGGCCUUUUAUUCUCACUGAAUAGCACCUCAACAGACACACAAGCAGAUAAUUGUCAUUGCCCCUUGAAAGACUCACCAUCAGGGAGACACUGGGACAUGUAUUUGUUUCCAACAGUCAAGGGAUUUUUUCCACUUGCAUUUUCACUUAGGAAAGGUGCUAGGGACUGUCGUCUCUAAAUGCUGUUGUUCCCUGGAAUUUAUAUAUUUAUGAUGAUUUUAAAGGGGGUAUCAGACUACAAGAGCAGGAAAGCCACCCAACCAUGUAAAGGUGCUCAAAUAAGACGAAUCAAAAUACAUCAGGAGAGGAAACCAAAAACCAGCGGCCUCUCUUAAACUAAGCUUUGAAAACUAAAUAAUAAAGCACAAUAAUAAACCAAGUCAAAACCUUGCCUAACUGUGAAAAAAUAAGGACAAAGAAACUCUAAAUUCAUCCUUGAACCACUGAUUUUCUUUGAAAUGGCACAUGCUUUGUAAUGAAAUUUACAGGGCCUAACAAGUCUUAUUGUUUAUUUUUUGAUUUUGUGUGGGAAGAAUUUUAGGUACUAUUUUAGACUCUUUUUAAAUACCUUUAUUUUAUGUAUUUACUUACUUUUAUGUGGUGCUAGGGAUCCAACCCAGUGCCUCACACAUUCUUGGCAUGCACUCUACCCCAGCCCCUCUUCCAGAUACUUAAUAUUGUAAAAUUGAGCUUUUAGUGAAAUGAAGAGGGAAAAUGAUUCCAGACAGCACCAUCAUGGAGACAGUGAUUUCUACUUCAUCUCUUAUUAGCAAAAGGGGAAACAAAUCACCUCAACUGAAACUAAAACAGUUUCGACUGCAGAAUAUACCAUGACAGCUAAUCAUGCACUGAAUGUCUGCAUUGAAUAAAUUUUCUUAGG